rnacentral:rRNA from 1 species
GACGAACGCUGGCGGCGUGCCUAAUACAUGCAAGUAGAACGCUGAAGGAGGAGCUUGCUUCUCUGGAUGAGUUGCGAACGGGUGAGUAACGCGUAGGUAACCUGCCUGGUAGCGGGGGAUAACUAUUGGAAACGAUAGCUAAUACCGUAUAAGAGUAGAUGUUGCAUGACAUUUGCUUAAAAGGUGCAAUUGCAUCACUACCAGAUGGACCUGCGUUGUAUUAGCUAGUUGGUGGGGUAACGGCUUACCAAGGCGACGAUACAUAGCCGACCUGAGAGGGUGAUCGGCCACACUGGGACUGAGACACGGCCCAGACUCCUACGGGAGGCAGCAGUAGGGAAUCUUCGGCAAUGGACGGAAGUCUGACCGAGCAACGCCGCGUGAGUGAAGAAGGUUUUCGGAUCGUAAAGCUCUGUUGUAAGAGAAGAACGAGUGUGAGAGUGGAAAGUUCACACUGUGACGGUAUCUGACCAGAAAGGGACGGCUAACUACGUG